rnacentral:sRNA from 1 species
GUUGGGCACGGUGGUGCAUGCCUGUAAUCCCUGUGGCUUAGGAGGCUGAGACAGGAGGAUCACAAAUUCAAAGCCAGCCUCAGCAAUGGCGAGGUGCUAAGCAACUCAGUGAGACCCUGUCUCUA